rnacentral:tRNA from 120 species
GGCGGAUGUAGCCAAGU